ACCUACUUCAUUAUUAUACCAGCAAUCCAGCCUGAAGGACUUAGCUCAUAGAUGUCUUCUGAAAUGUGGAAGAAAUACUUUCGUUUGUCAUAAAACCUCAGCAGGAGAUUGGAGUCUGGAAGAGGGAGGGGAGAAGAGGAGGACCUCAGGGAGAUUGUUUUGCUUAUUGGUGUUUAAUUAAAAACCAAACAACUUUUCCUAUUAACUUGAUGCUACUUAUUAAUUGAAAUGAGGAGACUGACUCUGGAUAUUGGGAAAAUUUAUGUCUGGAAUAGCAAAUUGACCUCAAAAGAUAUAUUUUGAUCAGGAUGAAUUCCAAAGCUGAAAUUAGUUGUUCUCUGAGUUCAGAGUUUUAGAUUAAACAUCUCUCUCUUGAUAUAUAUAUCUAUGGGCACAUACAGAGGAAAAGACAUGUGGGGACAUAAUGAGAGGACAGCCAUCUGCAAGCCAAGAAGAGAAUCCUCACCAGAAACCAACUUGACUGGAAUCUUGAUCUUGAACUUCUUGCUUCCAGAAUUAUGAGAAAAUAAAUUGUUGUUUAACCCACACAGUCUAUUGUACUUAGUUGUAGCAGUCUGAGAAGACUAAUACAUUGAUAAACUGGUCAGUUACAACAAUGAAUAUAUUAUUUAUACAUUAUAUAAAUGAUUAUAGUUUCUGUAUUAGCUUAGAUUUUGCAAAUUUGUCAAUAGCUUUGUCCAAGUUGAUUUUCUUUAUAUAUUCCUAUUUCAUAGACUAUAUUAGCUAGAUUUGUCAAUCUAUCUUACUCAUAAUGACUGAAGAACACUUUUAAAUUCAAUUUAAAAGGUUUUUGUCACAUAAAGCAACAAAUAUAAAACUAGAAAAAAUAUAAAUAUGAAUAUAAAUUUGAAGGAAAUUAAUAAAAAUCGUAUUGUACCAUAUAUUCCAGAAAUUUUAAACACUGAUGAAAACUUCAAGUGGUACCAAGGAAUGAGAGAAUUGAAGUAAUUCAAGUGUUAUAUUUCAUCUUUUCUAUCACUAGGUUGUCAUCAAUUAUUUCAAAUCUGUUUUUUUUUUUAUUGUAAUUAAACUUCUAAGUUCAGGGA
ensembl:lncRNA LINC02428 long intergenic non-protein coding RNA 2428